CAGUCGCCACGGGAAUACGAAGGGGGCUAGCGUUGCUCGGAAUGACUGGGCGUAAAGGGCGCGUAGGCGGCGGCCAAAGUCAGGCGUGAAAUUCCUGGGCUCAACCUGGGGGCUGCGUUUGAUACUUGGUUGCUUGAGUGGGGAAGAGGGUCGUGGAAUUCCCAGUGUAGAGGUGAAAUUCGUAGAUAUUGGGAAGAACACCGGUGGCGAAGGCGGCGACCUGGUCCUUUACUGACGCUGAGGCGCGAAAGCGUGGGGAGCAAACAGGAUUAGAUACCCCCGUAGUCCCUGUCUCUUAUAC
rnacentral:rRNA from 1 species